GUCAGUGUGGUUGAGGCUGUGUCGAGAGGAGGACCUACUCGAUUGGUCCUGCUCACGCUCGCUUGAUUGCUGCUGUAGUGUUCUGUCUCCCCCUCUCUCUCUCAAGUCGUUGUGCCAACUGUUUGUUUUUCGCCUGUGUACGCCACGCCUCACAGCGGAUGGUGUGUGAGUGAUGGGCACGGCGGAGCAGCAGAAGGAGCACUCCGGGGUUUCUGGAUCGUCCAGCCUGGAGUGCGGGGAGGACGAGGCGGCCGCGAGGGCCCCUGUGUCCCGCGGCUCCUCAACGGGCGUGGCCGCGACGCCCUCCAAUGCCAGUACCGGUGGAGCGUCAGGGAGCCGCCGGGGGCGUGCGUCGCCCACAAGUGCCUUCAGUAGGAUUCCGCUCGCCAGAUUUUGCGAGGAAAAGCGAGCGCGUCGUUGUAGGUUUUACCGAAAUGGUGACCGUUGGUUCGGCGGGAUGGUGGUGCCGGUGGGCGGGGACAAGCACAGGUCGUGGGAGUCCCUGCUUGCAGACUUGACACGGUUACUCGAUCACUCCAUCCACCUGACGGCGGGCGUGCGGCACGUGUUCACGCUGGACGGCACGCGGGUGACAUCGCUUGACCAGAUAUGCGAGGCGGGCGAGUACGUGGUCUCCUCCUCGGAGACCUUUAAGCGCCUGGAAUACACCCGCGCGCGGUUACCGCAAUGGCGGGCGACUGCACGCCGCAACGAGGCGCUGCACGUGCCUCCGCGAACUACAUACGUCACUCCGGCGUCCACGCCCGGCAACGAACUCCCUCCCAGCCUCAUGGGCUCCUCCAUGUCGGCGGAUUCCCCCAAGGACUUCAUCCGACCGAAACUCGUCACAGUGAUCCGAAAUGGAAUCCGCCCCCGCAAGGCGGUCCGGAUCCUGCUCAACCGCCGCACCGCCCGCAGUCUCGAGCAGGUCCUCUCGGACAUUACACACGCUAUCAAACUCGACACAGGCGCCGUCAGGAAAGUCUACACACUGGAUGGCAGACAGGUGAUGAGCCUCCGAGACUUCUUUUACGACGAUGACAUCUUCAUAGCCUACGGUCCGGAGCGACUCUCGCACGAUGACUUCGACUUGGACUCAGAAGAGUGCAAAACAAUUCAACCGAUGGUGAAGUGUCCGCUCAGCCCACGCCGGCCUCGUCGCAUGCCCUCUCCUAAGCCCCGCGGUCGCGCUGUAUCUCCUCUGGCAAUAUUCGAUGGCCCAGGUUGUAGUUUACCGAGGUCACCUAGAAAACCUAGAGCACAUUCGCCGCAUAAGCGUCUAAGUCAGCCUAAUAACCAGACAUAUCAGCAGCACCAGGAUCCACCAAUGUACAAUGGUCACAUAGCAUGUGGUGGUCUUGAGAACAUCAUUUUCCCAACAUGUGUAACCUCCAGGUAUUCUGUUGGGCGCAUCUUGGGUGAUGGAAACUUUGCAGUAGUACGUGGGUGUGUCUGUCGGAAAACGAAGGAAGAAUAUGCUCUCAAAAUCAUUGACAAAGCCAAGUGUCGUGGAAAAGAGCAUAUGAUUGAGAGUGAAGUUUCCAUACUUAGGAGGGUUAGCCAUCCAAAUAUUGUUAGUCUAGUGGAAGAAUUCCAUACCUCACAACAUCUCUACCUCGUAAUGGAGCUAGUCAGGGGUGGCGACUUAUUUGAUGCCAUUGCCAGUGCUACCCGCUAUACAGAGCAAGAUGCAAGUUCUAUGAUUAGAGACUUGGCAUCUGCUCUUGAUUAUCUCCAUCAGCGAGAUAUUGUUCACAGGGAUAUCAAGCCAGAAAAUCUCUUGGUGGUAGACCGUAGUGAUGGAAGCAAAAGUUUAAAGCUAGGAGAUUUUGGGUUGGCUGUAGAAGUCACAGAGCCAUUAUAUACUGUAUGUGGCACACCAACCUACGUAGCACCUGAGAUUCUUUCAGAAUCUGGGUAUGGCUUAAAGGUUGAUAUCUGGGCAACUGGAGUCAUCACAUACAUUCUUCUCUGUGGAUUUCCACCUUUUGUUUCUGCAACAAAUAACCAAGAGGAGUUAUUUGAUCAGAUAUUAAGAGGGCAGUAUGAAUUUCAUGCCCCUUAUUGGGAUGACAUAUCUGAUUCUGCAAGAGAAUUGAUCGUCCAAAUGAUCCAAGUGGAUCAAGACAAACGUUUUAGCGCACAAGAGGUUUUGGAUCAUCCAUGGGUCUCGGAUGAUGAGGCUCUGGACCGAAACCUUCAUCUUCGAGUGUCCCAUAAACUGGGUCUUCACUUUGACACAAACGGUCCCCAGCACAAGGCUGCCGGAAUCACUCUAAUGGCCGCGGAGUCCACGCCCUGCUUGCAUACAGUAGAAGUUCUAUAGUGUCUGGCAAGCAGGUGGCAGAUGGAAACAGGCAAGCAAGGAAGCAGGAUAAUGCUAAGGGAAUAUGGGGCUACUGACCUUAUAGUCCACAACAACAGGCUGACCACCACUACUCCUACAAGAACCAAACAUAACACUUACACUCACAAAAAUAUGAAUAUAGAAAAUUUAUAAUAAUUUGCCAAGCUGUUUUCAAAAUUAUUGAUAUUUCUUGUCAGAUUAUACUGGUCAAUGCACUAUUGUACAGUAUUUGCUCAAUAUCUUCAUUACUCAUACUUUUUCAUUUUUCUGUUCUGUAUUUUUGAAGGCAAUGCUUCAAUAUUUUGGUUUUAGUGAAUCAUUGAUUUUUUAGCUUUUCCUAGUCAACCACUUUCUAAGAGAUGUGUGAAGUAUUGUAUAAACCAUUAAACCAAUGUUGCAUCAAUGCUUAUAAAUUAUUUUUAUAAAGAUAUAUAACUUGACUAAGUAACAGUCACAUUUUUUAAGCAUAACAGUUAUUGUAUUGUGAUUAAGAAACCAGCUAGAAGCAAAUUGAUAGGCAACUACACAACAAAGCUAACCUUAUCGGGCCAUGAUAAUGGCUUGGCAUUGCUUCUAAAGCAGCAGGUAACCGCUUUGGACAAGGAGAACAGGAGUCUCCGUCGUGAGGGGGAUCCGCGAGAUGUUCCAAAUCUGACAAGUCCACCGUGCAGCCCCAGAAUGACUCUGUAUGCAAAUAACAAUCAAGUUUUUUGAAAGUGUAUGGAAUUAGAUGCCAACACAGUCCUUCAUCAGCUACUGAUAUAUUUGACAUAUAAAAGACAGUAUUUAUAUUACAUCAUGCAGAAAGAAGUCAAGUUGGAGACGUGCAGAUUUUCAGAUACAUACAAAAAGGAAAUUAUUAAAUUGGUUACCAUGCUCAUGAUUUUUUUAAAUACUUUUGUUAUAGAUUUUCUCAUUGGAAAAAAUACAUGAUUGUAAUGGAAAGUGCAUAUGUUUGGUGCUAAUGGAUAUAAAUAGUAGAUACCCAUGCCUAUGUAAAUAUGAAUAUGAGCAUUUUUUGAUGCUGUAGUUUUAUAUGAGAUGAAUGUAUAAAUUUCAUUGUUUCAUUACCACAUAUAAUAAUACUAUUUGGAGGAAGCUAGUAAGCAUAUCAGAUGUAAAAGAUGUAAAUUUACUGAACGAACAGUCAUUGAAAUGAUAGGUUAAGACAAGGGACCAAUGCAUUGGGGCCUAGAUUUCAAUGAAAUGCAGCUUAUAAUAUGACUGUUUUGUCAUUUAAUUAUGUUAUCCCUUCAGUGAUGUCUUAUGUUUAAUGUGAAGUCUCAUUUGCAUUUGGGCAUUAUUAUUCCAAGGAAGAUAAUACUCAGAAUACAACAUAAUUAAGCAUUUCCAGACUUUUUUUUUAUUAAAUCAUAUAUUCUUUAUUAUUUAUUUUUAUUAAGAGAUUUUACAUGAAUAGAUUUUGCAAUACAGGACAAGAUUUCAUUUUUACAUUUUUUCAUUGACUGAUGAUAUCAGUGAAACAAAUUAUAUUUUUCUUGGUCAUUUUCAUUUCACUUCAUGUAAAUACAUUUCUCUGUUUAAUGCUCCAAAAAAGUUGCUGCUGCUUGUUCCUAGGUAUGGACUUGAAAUUAAUACAUUUAAACAACAACAAAAAUAAUAGUAUGGAUAUAUUGAUAGUGCUUAUCUACAAUUUAGGUUCAGUACCCUGACUGAUGGUUAAUAUGUGUAUGAAUGUAAUAUAUUUCACCAUCAUCUCAAAAUGAGUGACUGUGGAGUUGUCAGAUACAAAUAUGUAAUAGGCCAUUUGCUUUAAUUACUUAUUCUUGUUUUACUCGCAGUUUACUGAGUGGAAUUGUAUUUUAACAAUCUGCUUACAAACUAGCAUAUUUAAUGUGAUGUGACGAAGUAAUAACUGAAGAUGAGGAAAACUUUUAAUAGAUCUGUACAUUUUAUUUAAUAUUAUUGUGCUAAACAAUAAGGUCUUGGUGCUUUUAGUGUAUGUAAGGUGUUCUAUUCGCAAAUAGGACAAGUUUAUACUCUGUGAAAAAUGUUUGUAGAUAUAUGUGGAAAUAAACUUUUAUUCACUUGAA
rnacentral:misc_RNA from 1 species